GGAUUCGCGCGCCGGCCCUGGCUAGUCUGGGUGUGGGCGGCUUUUGGAGAAAGCCGGAAGCAGCGACAGCCCCAGCUCCAGAGACAUGGCGGGCGUUAAAGGUGGAGGAAGGACUGGAAGAGGCUCAGUUUGGCAGCAGACAGCGAGCAUACAUCCAGGCUACCCUGCGCAGAGUUCAAGAGAAGACGGGAGUUUUGAAUGAAGUCUCGCUCUCGUGGCGCUCUCCUUCAGUGGGGCAAUUGGGCUGACUUUUCUUAUGCUGGGAUGUGCGUUGGAGGACUAUGGCGUUUACUGGCCCCUGUUCGUCUUGAUUUUCUACGUCAUCUCCCCCAUCCCCUACUUCAUUGCCAAAAGGGUCACAUAUGACUCCGACGCGACCAGCAGUGCCUGUCGGGAACUGGCGUAUUUCUUCACCACUGGGAUUGUUGUUUCUGCCUUUGGACUUCCUGUUGUUCUUGCUCGUGUGGAUGUGAUCAAGUGGGGAGCCUGUGGUCUUGUGCUGGCCGGCAACGCUGUCAUUUUCCUCACAAUUCAAGGCUUCUUCCUCGUCUUUGGAAGAGGAGAUGAUUUCAGUUGGGAACAGUGGUAGCCCCUCCUCCCCAUGGAAAGCAUUGAGUCUUAGAAUUUGUACUGUACGUAUAUGUGUGCACAUGUGUUUCAGAUUUGAAUAUGCUGAGUUUUUUUAUACCUUUAUAUCAUGAUCAUCUUAGGGAAGAUGUUGUAAACAAAAGAUGAGUUUUACUCCUGGCACACAGGUCACUCCAUUGACUCAAAGUGAAUUAUUUUUAUCUUCUAGCUUCCAGAAAGCCUGUUACUAUGGCCUUGUAGACAGCUGCUCACUUAUCCAGGGGGUCUAAACCUUUUGCCUUGGGUUAGGCUUGGGAGACACUGGGGCAGAUCUCCUACAGCCCAAACAUAGGUGGCGCUCUCCCUGUACACUUAGACUCAUCUCAUCCACACAGAGCAUCAGCAUCUGCUAGGAGCCCAUUGGGGAUGCAGGGUCAGACUGGGUAACUUUGAUGCGAUUGCACACUUGGCGCACGCACAUUGACGGGUGAGGAGGUUUGUUGUAGAGGAAUAAGCAUCAUAGCUCCCCUGCCCUCUCUGGGUGUUGCAUGCUCAUUUGCAGGAAAAAAAAAAAAAUCACCUGCCCCCUGCUGUGAAUGAGUUCAGACUUCAGGUGUUUCUAACAUGUUCAAUACUUGUGUUGUUCCUCAAAUUUGGGGGACCUGUUCUUAGGCAGGAACAGAUAAGUCAUCCAAAAGGCAGUGGCUGAUUGCUCAGAAUAAGAUACAAAAUAACCAAAAAACCCCUCUGGGGUGCAAGGAGGGAAACUUGGCUGGAAUGGUCCCUACUUUAAGUGGAGGGCAGGAUAGACAAUUCUUGGAAAUGUCCCUCUACGGUGCCUCCCAUCCCCCAUGCAGCAUUUGGUUUGCUCUUGGUGGUGGGUCUCCUGAAGGGUAUGAGGCAAGAGUGAGCAGAGGGGAGGGAGUCACUGAAGUUACACGCUGGUGCACUUUUCAUCCUUGAUAUUGAACUUGAUGUCACCUCCACAGGACACACAGGGAUCCACAUCAUUUUGGUUCUUAUAAACAGUUUUUCUAGCUCAUCUUUUUUAUCUGGAGCCUACUGGGAGAAGGAAGUGAGAACUACAAGCACCCAGUCAGGAUGCCAUCAGCGGUGUUUAAGCAUUGAUGCUGCUCGCUAAUGAGUGUCCAGAGCACUCUCCCUUGAGGCUUGCGGUCCAAGGAGUCAGCAUCCAGGCCAGGGCUGGUGUGACGCUGGGACCAGCAGGUGAAUGGACAGAGGACAGUGUGCAAUGUUAUAUUUUGGCCUUGUGCAUGACAUUAUGUUUUGAAUAUUUUGUGUACAAAUAGAAUUGUUAGCGUUGUCAUUUCUAGUAUUUACAUUAGAAAAAUUAUUUAGAUACUUGAUCAUUUAACUGGCAUUUUUAAUCAUGACACUUGCUAUUGUAAUAAAUUUGACUUUUAACACUGAA